GACAGAGGGUGCAAACGUUGUUCGGAAUUACUGGGCGUAAAGGGCGCGUAGGCGGCCUUCUAAGUCGAACGUGAAAUCCCCGGGCUCAACCCGGGAACUGCCUUUGAUACUGGGAAGCUCGAGUCCGGGAGAGGUGAGUGGAACUCCGAGUGUAGAGGUGAAAUGCGUAAAUAUCGGGAGGAACACCUGAGGCGAAGGCGGGCUACUGGGCCGAUACUGACGCUGAGGCGCGAAAGCCAGGGGAGCAAACGGG
rnacentral:rRNA from 1 species